CUAAGAGUAAUAAGUUUGGUCCUAGCUUUAUUAUUAACUGUUUCUUAUAUUAUACAUGCAAGUCUCCGCAAUCCAGUGAGAACGCCCUUUAAACCUGCCAACAGGAUGAGGAGCCGGCAUCAGGCACAGAACUCUUGCCCACAACGCCUAGUUUCACCACACCUUCAAAGGUAGUCAGCAGUAAUAAACAUUGUCCAUAGGCGAAAGCCUGAAUCAGCUAAAGAAAAGAGAGUCGGCCAACCCGGUGCCAGCCGCCGCGGCUACACCGUUGGACUCAAGUUAAUAUCAAUCGGCGUUAAGCGUGAUUAAAGGAACCACAAAUUAGAGUUCAAUGAAGGUUUAGCUGUUAAAAGCUUACCUACCAGAACCCCGAAGACGAAAGUUACUCUAAUUGAUCUCUUGAAUACACGACAGUUUGGGCAC
rnacentral:rRNA from 1 species